GUUAUAAAUGACCCUGUCUCCUUUGUUCAGUGUACUUUUGUGGCAAAACUGCUGGCGAGUGUACCCUUUCUGCGGAAAGUAAAAAUGGCCUUGCUGAGGAAGUUAAAAUUUAUGUUCAAGUGCUAUUUCUUUACAGCACUGGGGAAGAAGCAUUUCUAACAGGAGCCUGCAUGCUGAGGAUGGCAGAGGAAAAAGAGCCACACUGAGCCCUUGGAGAUGCCACUGAGGAGCUACGCUAACCAAUCCUGGAGGCACCAUAACCUAGGACUUCUUAUUAUACAAGGAUGCUAGAGAGCAGUCUUCAGCCUGAGACCCAUCUCUAGCUUCUAACAACUCAGUAUAUUCCUAUGAACAAAAUUUGGAGCAUAUUUGUUUCUCUCUACCUGAUUUCUUCAGACUGUGGAAACUAUUUGAAUCAAACUUGACUUAUGGAUCCAAUAAAGCCCUUGGAAAAACUGGCCUCAUAUUUUGUGUACACAGUCCCUGUACAGGGUUUCUGAC